GUUGUUUAUUUUUUUUACCAUUUUGUUUACUUUGGAUCAACUCUGUUGUGCAUUAAGUGACCUGACUUGACCAAACCUACCCAUGCUCUUCAGUCAAUGACGUCGCUCAGUCUCGCGCUUGACAGCUUGAAUCGGAAUCCCUCGUCUACGACUAGAACUACUCCAGCCUCAUUCUUGUUGUACUGCUAGAACCUGAGCUGACUGAGUGUCUCGUUGCCUCUGUCAAGUUUGGAGCCCCAAAAACUUCGCCCUGAACUUAACGGGACUUUUCACAUUACCACACACAAAGCAAUUGUCUUUUUAAAGACUUCCACCAUCUCCACCUUCCCUUGUGCUGCGCUAGUCUUUGCCACAGAAAUACUCCCAAGACUCCCAUCUCCCAUCCCUUGCUGUGCUACAGACUUUUCAGGCUUGUUCCAGACCAGCCCUGUCAGAGUGGUAUCUGCGUGUCACUUGUGACACUGCCUGUCAUCGUCUGCACACCCUGCACUACACUGCACUGCAAUCAUAUACAACAGAACCCACUAACGCCUACCUGCAAACAUAUCUACUACAAGAACCAAACACUUGCUGAGAACAUAUCUGACUGCACAUGCUAUACUCUGAACCCUUUUGAUUGAAACCGCCUUUGAGAUUGAAACCGCCUUUGAAACUGAAUCCUUUUCUGAAUACUACUCUGCAUCAUAUUGAGACUGAAUAUCACUCUAAACCAGCAAACCCACUCUAAACAUACC